rnacentral:rRNA from 1 species
UACGUAGGGUCCAAGCGUUAAUCGGAAUUACUGGGCGUAAAGCGUGCGCAGGCGGUUGUGUAAGCCAGAUGUGAAAUCCCCGGGCUUAACCUGGGAAUGGCAUUUGGGACUGCACGGCUAGAGUACGGCAGAGGAGACUAGAAUUCCUGGUGUAGCAGUGAAAUGCGUAGAUAUCAGGAGGAAUACCGAUGGCGAAGGCAGGUCUCUGGGUCGAUACUGACGCUCAUGCACGAAAGCAUGGGGAGCAAAAGGG